UUGAUGAAAACAGCCUUUCAAACAUUCUUAUCACUUAGAUAUGAAGCCUGGCCUUCUCAUGCCUCCUGUAUUGUCAACAUACAAGACUACAGGUUUCCAGGGGGGAUGGGAAAAGGAAGCUGCAAUGAAAAAUAUGCCCUACUUAUAAAACAACAAUGCAGGUUUCAGAAUACAACUGUGGAGGGCACGCCGGGGGGAUGCUGUGUGCUUUGUGACAUCUGCUCUGCUCCGCUGCGUAUGAAACGGCUGACAAGAAACGGACCUCAACGAAAUUGACCUCCUGGAUCACGCUGGACAAGGCACAUUCACCUCCAGAUAUGACCCUGUUGCUAGUGAAAAGACUCAACGCUGUAAGGAAGGAGCAAAUCACCUCCUAAGAGGAGGUUAAAAGCCCUGCCACAGAUCAUCAAAAGGAUGCAAUUUCCAGGUCGGCUACCAGGACAUCAGCAGGACUUCAAAAGCACUGGCAGCACUACAAUGAAGGACCUGCCAGUGCCCAGCUGGAAGCUUCUCCUUGCAAUGACUUUAAGGGGAUAUUGAAAAGCCACGGUGAUAUAAGCUAAGAGCUUCUCCUGUUAAGCAGGAAAUGGAUGAGCCAUGAACACAGGAGAAGUGAGGCUCCAAGCCCAAGUGAGGGAGCAGUGGUGCCAGGCAUACCCUGGCCCACUGACAGGACACCUCCUGGUCACCCAGGAUCCAGGAGUUCUGAGGGGCAUGGCACAAACACCUGAAUGACAGCAGACAGAGUCAGCUGUACCCAGGUGGAAGAUCUGCAUGAAAUAAAA